rnacentral:tRNA from 1 species
GCUUUAGUGUAGCGGUUAUCACUUCGGAUUCUGAUUCCGACAACCCUGGUUCGAUUCCAGGAUCGAGCU